rnacentral:rRNA from 1 species
CUACGGGGGGCUCCAGUGGGGAAUAUUGGACAAUGGGGGAAACCCUGAUCCAGCAAUGCCGCGUGUGUGAAGAAGGCCUGCGGGUUGUAAAGCACUUUCGGUUGGGAGGACUGCUUCUAGCACUAAUAUUGUUGGAAGUUGACGUUACCUUCAGAAGAAGCACCGGCUAACUCCGUGCCAGCAGCCGCGGUAAUACGGAGGGUACAGGCGUUAAUCGGAAUUACUGGGCGUAAAGCGCGCGUAGGCGGCUAGAUCAGUCGGGUGUGAAAGCCCCGGGCUUAACCUGGGAACUGCAUCCGAUACUGUCUAGCUUGAGUACAGGAGAGGAGAGUGGAAUUCCACAUGUAGCGGUGAAAUGCGUAGAUAUGUGGAGGAACACCAAUGGCGAAGGCAGCUCUCUGGCCUGAUACUGACGCUGAGGUGCGAAAGCGUGGGGAGCAAACAGGAUUAGAUACCCUUGUAGUC